UUGCUGGAGUGUGCUAGAGCCCAGAGAAGCAACCUUGCAUCAUUUUCUCUCUCUCUCUCUAGGGUUUUUCUCUCUCUACAAAGAAUUCGCCGAUUUCGCUCGUUUUCGUCGUCGCGCGCGUUCUUCGCUGGUUGCGAGCGUCGCAGCGCCUUUGUGCACGUGCAAGAGAGCGUUUUGGAAGGAUUUUCGCAGCCUUGGACCAGUGGGGUGCUGGUUGGAAGCUUGAGAAGCAGGUCUUCGAGCUUCGUUGAGCUGAAUUUGUACCCUUAGAAGCUGGUUAGGAAGCUGCUCUAACCUAGGCGAGAAGGUAUUUGACCCUUGGAUCGCCUUCGUUUGGCAUUGGAGGGCCUUCCGGAAGCUUAACGUGAGGUUUGGGACUUUGUUGAGCUGAUUCUUGGGACGUCUUGUGACUGCUUUGAGCAUAGUACGAGAGCCUGUUACAGGAGAGGCUAGGGAUCGUGGCAAGGGAGUCGCGCCUAGCUAGG